AUCGGACGGAUGAUCGGCACGGGCAGGCAGUUGCUGAGCCUGCCUAAGAAGUUACACAUCCAGCUCAAGGAAUGAACAUGCUGUACUCCGUGCGACGUCAAACAAUAUUGUGUGAACAUUUGAAUGUUGAAAGAAGAGAAGAGACAAUUACUUAUUCAUUCAUUCUCUUACUUUCGUAAGGUCCAGACUGUUGUCUUGUUAAACUUGGAGAGAUUUGUAGACUGUAUUCAUGGAAAAAUGAUUGUGAUAGUUUCUGAUGGACCAGAAGGUGUCGAGCUUACGAAAAGUGUUUUAGUUCUAUGAAAACUGUUAUUUGUGAUGAAAAUACAGUGAGAUUGAGUUCAAAGUAUUCUCGAGUGUAUGGAGUUAUUUUAAAAGUAUAAAAAAUUCCUCCAAAGUAGCAUCUUCUCUUCGGAGAAGAAGUUUUGCAGGACAUCGCAGCCGGCUAUCAUGAAAAGCAGACCGGCAAAGCAACUCCAAGUAAGUUCGAUAGCAAAAGGGGAGUGUUAGUCUUGCACACCAGUACCACACUGCCACCCUUAAUCAUCGGAAACCGCCAGAACACAUAUAAAGUCAGGUGAAGGACAUUAUGGUGAAAGAGGUAUGUACAAGCCAGGAAGAGAAAAUUCUUUCAUCAAAUUCCACAAAAAUUCCACUACCAGAGAACGUAAUGAAGUUUUCUUUGUGGGCAGAUAUCGAUGAUAGUCUUAUUCCAAUAGCUGUUGCCCCAUAGGCCAGCAAAUGUUGGUCAAGUAUUACUUCAUAAUUGCAUGCCAUGGCAUGAAGUUAAUGAGAUGUCAUGGUGAAAAAUAUGAUGAGAUAAAUACUGGGAUUAACAGUAUGACAAGAUGUGUGUGAGGUAUGUAAUGUAAAGAUGAAGCACUGAGAGUAAUGUAAGAGAGAAAAUGGUUGAUAAAUUGUUGUGACGUGCACCUGGUGGCUUCUGAGGCACAGCAAGACACAUGUUUAACGAGGAAGAAAUACUAACCAGUUUCUCUGUAGCAAGUUCCAGUAUAAAUACCAUCUUUUCAGAAUCUCUGAUCCAUUUUCUGAUCCUGUUGUUUUAACUAAAUGAUGUCUCCAACUUUCACUCCACACUUAUUGUUUUAAACAUUCAUUUUACAAGCAGCAAUUACAAAUACGUGUAGUUUUUUUAACAGUGAGUGGAAAGGACAUAGGAAACAAUCUGUUAACUGGUAAUGUUAAAUCGGUUGUAAGAACUCAUACAGGUCAGUGAACUUAUUUAGCUGGCUUUG